rnacentral:rRNA from 1 species
UACGUAGGGGGCAAGCGUUGUCCGGAUUUAUUGGGUUUAAAGGGUGCGUAGGCGGUCCUAUAAGUCAGUGCUGAAAUCUCCCGGCUUAACCGGGAGGGUGGCAUUGAUACUGUAGGACUUGAGUAAAGUUGAGGUUGGCGGAAUUGACGGUGUAGCGGUGAAAUGCUUAGAUAUCGUCAAGAACACCUAUUGCGAAGGCAGCUAACUAAGCUUUAACUGACGCUGAGGCACGAAAGUGUGGGGAUCAAACAGG